UCAAAGGAUGAACCCUAAGAGGGUUUCUUCUCCUUCAUUGCCGCACCUUCUCCAGAGAUAUAUGAACCCUUUCGAGCUCUCACUGAUAUACAAAGCCUCGCUCACUCUAAGUUCAGCGCCUCCCCUUGCCUCCACUCUCAUUCACUCUCAGCUUAGUCCCUUCUCACCAUCACUCUCCAUCGCCGGCAGUCCAUGCCACUGUCUCGCCAUGAGUCCCUUUCGUAAUCACUCCCUUUGGCUCUCAUUCGCUCUCGCUUGCUUCUGUCCAUAAGUCCCCCUCGGCGUCACUCCAUCUGGUAAUAGCUUCUCUCAUGGUUCAUUCAUAAAACCGUAAAAUUGGAAGAUCAGAAAACCCUAAUUUAAGAUAUUUUCGGUGAAAUGUUUUUUUUUUUUUUUUCUCAUUAUGUUUUUGUUGGAGUUUUCUUUAAAACCGUGGAAAAUAGGGUAAUGUGAGUAAAGCCCAUGAAAAAUUUACUCACUCACACUCGUCAAUGGUGAGGCUUAGGACGGGCAUUGAUUCGGCGUUCUGGGACCUCAAUGUGGCCUCGCCGUAGUGCCACGACGGUUGGGCCAAGUCCGUUCCCGGAGACCCUUUUCCGGUGGAAGCCUCCGUUGCCAGCAAAGUGCUCCGCCCCCAGCAAUUUUCCUUCCUCUAAAAGGAGCUCCCUUUUCCCAUUGUCGCUCCCUUGCUCUCUCCCACUUUCCCCCAAGGGUUUGGACUCCUUCGGUCUCUAGGACCUUCUCCUCAAACUCUCCUCUUCUCGUUGGAAAAACUAGAAAUAGUUAAGAAGGAUUGUGAAGCAAUUAGUGCUGUCAAAGGAUUUGUAAGACCAUAUUCUCUUAUGUUGUAGGGGAGUGGUGGAAUGCUAAUGUUGUUGAUGUGAGAACGAAGCAGAGGAAACUGGUCUUGGUCCAGUUGAUUCAGAUGCCUACACCAUUAACGGCUUGCCCAGUGAUUCUUACCAUUGCUCUCAAAAUUAUACAGUGGAGUGCAAUCUUUUUUCAUCUUCUGAAGAAAGACAACCACAGGGUUCCACAGAAGGAGUUUUUGAAGGUUUUCAAGACUUAUCCAGGUACCCAGCCAAUUUGGACAAAAACAAGCGGCGUUGGUGCAGUUACACAGAGUAGAAGAGUGGUCGGACGUCCAGAACAAAGUGUGAAGGAAGAGGUGAACUAAAGUCUAACCGGAACAUUGAGCAGAAGAGUGACCGGACGUCCAGAACAAAGUGUGAAGGAAGAGGUGAACUAAAGUCUAACCGGAACAAAGUAUAAAGUUAAAUUAAAAAUUAGCAAUUAAGGUUUCAUUAAUUACUUUACAAUUCUUUUCUUUGUGUUCUUAAAUUCCUUUAGCAAAUAAAACUGUUCUUACA